rnacentral:lncRNA from 1 species
CUUCUCACCUCUCUGUGCCCUUGUAUAGGGCUGGCAAGGAAGCCUCCAUACAGCCAUGUGUGGCCACAUUUACCAGGCUGAAACCCAGAGGAAGGAUUUAGCAGAUGAAAUUUAUCUCCUCGAAAUCACCACGAGACCUUCUAAGAAGUGUUUUGUAAGAAGAAGCCAAAAGACUGAACCCUUG